CCAGACACCAUCCCUAGCUCUCUGACUCCGGAGGAACUCUCACUGAUUAGGAUUCAGUACGGGGUUCCUCCGGAGUACGAGCUGGACCUUCUCGGGCCAACUGGCCGGGCUAGCGCCCCUCUUCCCAGCUGCUUCUGUUUAUACCAAGAAGCUUUCUGCACCAGACUUCGACUUUCACUUUUUCCUUUUUUCGUGGCUUUGUUUCUAAGCUAUGCCAAUCUUCUUUC
rnacentral:lncRNA from 1 species